rnacentral:rRNA from 1 species
AUUGAACGCUGGCGGCAGGCCUAACACAUGCAAGUCGAACGAGUGGCGGACGGGUGAGUAAUGUCUGGGAAACUGCCUGAUGGAGGGGGAUAACUACUGGAAACGGUAGCUAAUACCGCAUACCAUCGGAUGUGCCCAGGUGGGAUUAGGUAGUUGGUGGGGUAAAGGCUCACCAAGGCGACGAUCCCUAGCUGGUCUGAGAGGAUGACCAGCCACACUGGGACUGAGACACGGUCCAGACUCCUACGGGAGGCAGCAGUGGGGAAUAUUGCACAAUGGGGGCAACCCUGAUGCAGCCAUGCCGCGUGUAUGAAGAAGGCCUUCGGGUUGUAAAGUUCUUUCGGUGGCGAGGCGUUAACUGCAGAAGAAGCACCGGCUAACUCCGUGCCAGCAGCCGCGGUAAUUC